rnacentral:rRNA from 1 species
CCGUGAGGGAAAGAUGAAAAGAACUUUGAAAAGAGAGUUAAACAGUAUGUGAAAUUGUUAAAAGGGAACCGUUUGGAGCCAGACUGGUUUGACUGUAAUCAACCUAGAAUUCGUUCUGGGUGCACUUGCAGUCUAUACCUGCCAACAACAGUUUGAUUUGGAGGAAAAAAUUAGUAGGAAUGUAGCCUCUCGAGGUGUUAUAGCCUACUAUCAUACUCUGGAUUGGACUGAGGAACGCAGCGAAUGCCWUUAGGCRAGAUUGCUGGGUGCUUUCGCUAAUAAAUGUUAGAAUUUCUGCUUCGGGUGGUGCUAAUGUUUAAAGGAGGAACACAUCUAGUAUAUUUUUUAUUCGCUUAGGUUGUKGCUUAA